UCAGGUUUAAUGAGGCCAGCAAUAUAGCGA
rnacentral:piRNA from 1 species